AGAUUUAACUGCCUUCCCUCAUCGACCAAUCCCGUGGCAAUCUCCCUCAUCUCUGUUCCAAAUAUCUUUAAAACAACCAAUCUAGAGUCAUCAACUUCCAAAUUAGUAUAGAAUAGCUUAAUCAAGUUUGGAUAGCAAGGGUUGUGAGUUUGAAGAUCUCUCUAAUCCCUUAGCCCUGAUGAAUUUCAUCUGAUAAAAUCAUCAAUGCAAUAAUGAGAACUCACAUCAGUAUAUUUUGAAACAUCAGUGCCUGUAAAAACACAAUUUUACAUACCAUGAAAGCAUUUGAGAUUUUGAAAAAAAGAAGGGAAAUUUCAAAAAAAGAAAAGGCAAAAAUCAUAGAUUCAUGGAGUCAUGAAAUGUAGGGGUCAGACCUUAUUACUCUGAAUUAGUAUAACAAUUAUUAUACUAAUAUAAAUAAAAAAAAUUAACAGAUUUAAAUGCCAUAAUAAUUAAAACCAUUAUGUGCAUAGACUGUAAUUUAAAGGAAAAUAAAAAUUUAAGCUUUUCACCUAUUAAUGGACUUUCCCUAAACAAAUAAAUUUAUUUAGCAUUGAUCCACUAAAAAUCAUGUGUACAGAUUACAAUAUAGGAUUCGCCAAUCCGUAUUGGGCAUACAGAUUCGCCAAUCCAUAUUAACUUUACGGAAAGACAAAGAUGAAAUUUCAUUAUUUUACUUGGUGUACAAGGUAAUGUCCUUUUACAUAUUGUAGCCAGUACACAUGGUUUUUAAAAGAAAUUGAUCAAAGGCCGAGUCCCUGGCUUAUAUCAUCCUCGAUCUGGAUCUUAUUGGCGACAUCUUUCUCCUGGCUCACAACCUCUUCUAUAGUUGAUGUUAACUAAUGGCAGAUGACAAGCGGCGACAUUGGGGUGUACUUUGCUGCAUCCAGGAAUGGUGUUACGCUGCAUUGCUUCUUUGCUGAUUACUCUUGCCUCAACUUCUUGGACCAAAACCGCCGACAACAAAAGUGUGCAGAGAACAAGACCCUGCAUCACCCUUGUCAUUGCCAUCGCUAUUUAAUUAAUCAAUGCGAAGUUGAUUAAUGAUGAGUUAAAUUAAUUU
rnacentral:lncRNA from 1 species